GGUCCGGUAGCUCAGUUGGAUAGAGCAACAGCCUUCUAAGCUGUGGGUCACAGGUUCGAAUCCUGUCCGGAUCACCA
rnacentral:tRNA from 1 species